UGAUAUAUAUCUCCAUCUUUCUAAUUUAUUAAGGGAAUUGCUAUUAACACUCCAAAAAUCUCAUUUUACACUCCUCAUAAGUGUAUUUUUCUUUCUAAUUAUAGAAGUUUAGAAUGCCAAAUGAAAUUUUUGGAGUACUAAUAACAAUUCCCUUUAUCAAUCCUCUUAAUAAAAUUGCAAGUAAAAUAAAAAAAUAUAUAUAAAAAAAUAAAUAAAAACAUAUUGUAGUCAUAACUUUUAACCCGUGGAGCUCAAAAAAUAUAAAAAAAUGUAAAUAGGUUCAAACCUUUCCGACCGGGCCGUGACAGGCAGUCCGGUCCGAUUUUCCUUCGCUCAAAAAAGGAGCGGACUCACUUCACUGUACUCCUCUCCUUAAACCCUACUCUCCGUACGGAACACGCAAAAACCCUAGCAAAUUUCCAUUGCCAUGGAUUUGCAGCACAGCGACUUUGAUCGCAUCCUCUACUUCGAACACGCCGCAAGAUCUCCUAAGCCACCUACACUAAGAAUCAUAUCGAUGCCGAUAACUUGAAGAGGUGGGCUGGUGCUCUGCUAGAGCUUUCCCAGUUUCAGAAUGUUUUGGAAUCAAAGAAGAUGACUCUAGUAAUUUGAGAGUUUCGAGUUUGCGAAUGCGGGUUUGUGUGCUAUUUCGAAGCUGGAGGAGGCAUUGUUGAUUAAUCCUAGGAAACAUGAUGCUCUCAUUGUGUCUGGGAAAUGCUCAAACUGCUCGCGCAUUUUCUGCUCCGGACCAGAAUGAAGCAAGGGUUUAUUUCGAAAAGGCGUCUCAGUGCUUCCAGAAGGCACUAAAUGAGGAGUCGGGAAAUGAUCUGUAUCGCAAGUCUUUCGAAGUGGCUGCUAAGAUGCACUGCUCUCUAACUUGGUCUCCUUGCUUGGUUUUGUUUCUGAAAUUCUGUGUUGGCAUCCAUUUUGCGGUAGCCAGACACGCAUAGAAAUUUCAAUUGUUGGUUUCUUGAGAAGUCGGUUGCUCUUGAUUAUAAUAUUUCUAGAACUGAAACUGUUUUAUCUGUUCUAUCAGCUUAUGAAUGUGAGACUUAAAUCACAAAGUUACUAAUUACUGUGUUUAUAGGGGCCGCAACUGUACUCGGAUUUGCGCAAGCAUGGUUUAGGUCAAUUGGGGAUGGAGGCUGCUGCUGGAGCCGGACCUUCUACUUCAACUGGUGGGAAGACUCAAAGAAAAACAAGAACAGCGAUCUCAAGUAUGACGUAUGUGGUUGGAUAAUCCUUGCUGUUGGAAUUUUUGCUUGGCUCAGAUAAGCGAAAUCCCAUGCGCCUCCUCCUCCGCUUCCGCAGUGAGCAUAGCAGGAACUGGUCAUAACUUUUGGUACUUUAGAAGAUAGUUUGGAGAUCAAUCAAAUCAUUAAUCAGAAGGUGGAGCUAAACCAUCCAUAACUAGUUUAACUUUUACCGUAGCGAUGACAGUGUGACUGAUAAAAUAGUUUAACGAUAUUGAAGAUUUAUCAAGGGAGAUAUAGUUGACGAUUUCACAGCUAGU